UUGUCUCAAAGAUUAAGCCAUGCAUGUCUACGCAUAAACGAAUUUAAAGUGAAGCCGCGAAUAGCUCAUUACAACAGCCGUUGUUUCUUGGAUCUCCGCUUUACUUGGAUAACUGUGGUAAUUCUAGAGCUAAUACAUGCAAUCGAGCUCUGACUUCAUAGGACGAGCGCAUUUAUUAGAACAAAACCAAUCCGCUUCGGCGGUUCUCUGGUGAAUCUGAAUAACUUCGCAGAUCGCUUCAGUUCCAUACCGGCGACGUAUCCUUCAAGUGUCUGCCUUAUCAACUUUCGAUGGUAGUUUCUACGCCUACCAUGGUUUCGACGGGUAACGGAGAAUUAGGGUUCGACUCCGGAGAGGGAGCCUGAGAAACGGCUACCACUUCUAAGGAAGGCAGCAGGCGCGCAAAUUACCCACUCUCGGCAUGAGGAGGUAGUGACGAAAAAUAACGAGAUAACCCGCUCUAGCGAGUUAUCAUCGGAAUGAGUACAAUCUAAAUCCUU
rnacentral:rRNA from 1 species